ACAAAACCCUGGCCUUGAUAGACAACAAAACCCUGGCCUUGAGAGGCGACAAAACCCUGGCCUUGAGAGACGACAAAACCCUGGCCUUGAGAAGCAACAAAACCCUGGCCUUGAGAGGCGACAAAACCCUGGCCUUGAGAGGAGACAAAACCCUGGCCUUGAUAGACAACAAAACCCUGGCCUUGAGAGGCGACAAAACCCUGGCCUUGAGAGGAGACAAAACCCUGGCCUUGAGGCGACAAAACCCUGGCCUUCAGAGGCAACAAAACCCUGGCCUUGAGAGGCGACAAAACCCUGGCCUUGAGAGGCGACAAAACCCUGGCCUUGAGAGGCUACAAAACCCUGGCCUUGAGAGGCUACAAAACUCUUGCCUUGAGAGGAGACAAAACCCUGGCCUUGAGAGGAGACAAAACCCUGGCCUUGCGAG
ensembl:lncRNA